AAAUAUAUUUAUUUUAUUUAUUUAUUUUAACAAAAAACAUAUUUUUUAUUUUUUAUAUUCAUAUUAUUUUAGUUUUGUUCAUAAAUCUAAAUGUUCCCAUGGCUAAAACCCAAUAUUGCAAUUGUAAAGCAACAGGCCAGAUUUCCCUAUCAGUUUGUAUUAAGGGAGGCCAGGCCUCCCCUAGGAAAUUAGCUUCUCAUAGAAGUCAAUGUAAUGCAUGCUUUUUCAUGCCAAUAUGUGAUUGGCCAGAUCACUGAAAAUGGGUGGGCAACGGAGGCCUGGCCUCACCAUGCAUUGUGUCCAGGGCUGAAAGAUUGACAUUUUGUUCGUCCAAUCACAUGCUACUGGUUCAUUUGGAAUCAAUCCUUUCCUUUCCUAAUCAACACAGAAGCCCUUUUGAGAAUUCGCCAGCCACUUCAGUCAAACAAACACUCGCCAUAGUGGCUACGAGUGUCCUAUCAACUUGUGCUUUUCAGGAAAUUUAGAGAACACCCCUGGCUAUCAUCCGUGAAGUUUAUAGCUCAUAUAGCCAAAUACUUUUGCUUAAAACGACCUCGGAAAUCGGCGAGAUUCUGGCGCAAUUUGAGAUCUUGGGCUGGAGAUAGAUAUGCGUUAACGUUAAACCCUUCACUCUAGGCAUUUCUCCUUGAGUUGACAACAUCUCUGAGACAGAUUUCGAAAGCAAAAGCUGCUGCUGCUAAUCGCUCAUUGACAUUUAUCUCUGUAGUUUGGACAUUUUUACAGUUGAAGUUUAGCUCAUUGUUUUCCAUCCAGUUAGCUGUGUGUGUUCGAGCAAGCCUAGAUUAGCCAGGCAAAAUGGAUGUGAGAGAGGAAAAUGUACAUGGAACAGGUGCUUGUGGUGGUGGCUUGGGUCCGAAUCCAGUGGAAGAGGAGGAUGGAGUUCAACCUAGAUGCAAUCAACGUUACAGUUUUUUUUUAAUCUGGGGAUGGAUGGCUGAGUUGGACACGUUCUGGAUCCACACGACCUGUGAGUAUUCUCACUACUUUGCUCUCAAGAAAUUGCAGUACAAUCUGAAUUACUUUUUGGAUGAACUGGGUGUCUACCAGUGUUACACCACUAGUUCUCAGUAGUAAUAACACUCCAUUUCAUGUCUCUCAGUAGAUGAAGCCAGCUGCAACCCGUAGAGUGGAGUCGUGGAGAGAGCCCCUCGCCCCUCAGCUAAACCAGAGUAAAUGAAGCCAGCACCAACCUGUGGAGUGGAGUCCAGGAGAGAGCAUGCCGCCCCUCAGCUAAACCAGAUCAGAUAAAGCCAACUGGAACCAUAUUUUUACAUAUUUUAUAUUAAAUAUAUUGAAUAAAACUACAU